GGAGCUUGCUCCACCGGAAAAAGAAGAGUGGCGAACGGGUGAGUAACACGUGGGUAACCUGCCCAUCAGAAGGGGAUAACACUUGGAAACAGGUGCUAAUACCGUAUAACAAUCGAAACCGCAUGGUUUUGAUUUGAAAGGCGCUUUCGGGUGUCGCUGAUGGAUGGACCCGCGGUGCAUUAGCUAGUUGGUGAGGUAACGGCUCACCAAGGCCACGAUGCAUAGCCGACCUGAGAGGGUGAUCGGCCACAUUGGGACUGAGACACGGCCCAAACUCCUACGGGAGGCAGCAGUAGGGAAUCUUCGGCAAUGGACGAAAGUCUGACCGAGCAACGCCGCGUGAGUGAAGAAGGUUUUCGGAUCGUAAAACUCUGUUGUUAGAGAAGAACAAGGAUGAGAGUAACUGUUCAUCCCUUGACGGUAUCUAACCAGAAAGCCACGGCUAACUACGUGCCAGCAGCCGCGGUAAUACGUAGGUGGCAAGCGUUGUCCGGAUUUAUUGGGCGUAAAGCGAGCGCAGGCGGUUUCUUAAGUCUGAUGUGAAAGCCCCCGGCUCAACCGGGGAGGGUCAUUGGAAACUGGGAGACUUGAGUGCAGAAGAGGAGAGUGGAAUUCCAUGUGUAGCGGUGAAAUGCGUAGAUAUAUGGAGGAACACCAGUGGCGAAGGCGGCUCUCUGGUCUGUAACUGACGCUGAGGCUCGAAAGCGUGGGGAGCAAACAGGAUUAGAUACCCUGGUAGUCCACGCCGUAAACGAUGAGUGCUAAGUGUUGGAGGGUUUCCGCCCUUCAGUGCUGCAGCUAACGCAUUAAGCACUCCGCCUGGGGAGUACGACCGCAAGGUUGAAACUCAAAGGAAUUGACGGGGGCCCGCACAAGCGGUGGAGCAUGUGGUUUAAUUCGAAGCAACGCGAAGAACCUUACCAGGUCUUGACAUCCUUUGACCACUCUAGAGAUAGAGCUUCCCCUUCGGGGGCAAAGUGACAGGUGGUGCAUGGUUGUCGUCAGCUCGUGUCGUGAGAUGUUGGGUUAAGUCCCGCAACGAGCGCAACCCUUAUUGUUAGUUGCCAUCAUUUAGUUGGGCACUCUAGCAAGACUGCCGGUGACAAACCGGAGGAAGGUGGGGAUGACGUCAAAUCAUCAUGCCCCUUAUGACCUGGGCUACACACGUGCUACAAUGGGAAGUACAACGAGUCGCGAAGUCGCGAGGCUAAGCUAAUCUCUUAAAGCUUCUCUCAGUUCGGAUUGUAGGCUGCAACUCGCCUACAUGAAGCCGGAAUCGCUAGUAAUCGCGGAUCAGCACGCCGCGGUGAAUACGUUCCCGGGCCUUGUACACACCGCCCGUCACACCACGAGAGUU
rnacentral:rRNA from 1 species